CAGGAUGAACGCUGGCGGCGUGCUUAACACAUGCAAGUCGAACGAUGAAGCCCAGCUUGCUGGGUGGAUUAGUGGCGAACGGGUGAGUAACACGUGAGCAACCUGCCCCUGACUCUGGGAUAAGCGCUGGAAACGGCGUCUAAUACUGGAUACGAGUAGCGAUCGCAUGGUCAGUUACUGGAAAGAUUCUUUGGUUGGGGAUGGGCUCGCGGCCUAUCAGCUUGUUGGUGAGGUAAUGGCUCACCAAGGCGUCGACGGGUAGCCGGCCUGAGAGGGUGACCGGCCACACUGGGACUGAGACACGGCCCAGACUCCUACGGGAGGCAGCAGUGGGGAAUAUUGCACAAUGGGCGGAAGCGUGAUGCAGCAACGCCGCGUGAGGGAUGACGGCCUUCGGGUUGUAAACCUCUUUUAGCAGGGAAGAAGCGAGAGUGACGGUACCUGCAGAAAAAGCGCCGGCUAACUACGAGCCAGCAGCCGCGGUAAUACGUAGGGCGCAAGCGUUAUCCGGAAUUAUUGGGCGUAAAGAGCUCGUAGGCGGUUUGUCGCGUCUGCUGUGAAAUCCCGAGGCUCAACCUCGGGCCUGCAGUGGGUACGGGCAGACUAGAGUGCGGUAGGGGAGAUUGGAAUUCCCGGUGUAGCGGUGGAAUGCGCAGAUAUCAGGAGGAACACCGAUGGCGAAGGCAGAUCUCUGGGCCGUAACUGACGCUGAGGAGCGAAAGGGUGGGGAGCAAACAGGCUUAGAUACCCUGGU
rnacentral:rRNA from 1 species